AGUGAACGCUGGCGGUAGGCCUAACACAUGCAAGUCGAACGGCAGCACAGUAAGAGCUUGCUCUUACGGGUGGCGAGUGGCGGACGGGUGAGGAAUACAUCGGAAUCUACUUUUUCGUGGGGGAUAACGCAGGGAAACUUACGCUAAUACCGCAUACGACCUACGGGUGAAAGCAGGGGAUCUUCGGACCUUGCGCGAUUGAAUGAGCCGAUGUCGGAUUAGCUAGUUGGCGGGGUAAAGGCCCACCAAGGCGACGAUCCGUAGCUGGUCUGAGAGGAUGAUCAGCCACACUGGAACUGAGACACGGUCCAGACUCCUACGGGAGGCAGCAGUGGGGAAUAUUGGACAAUGGGCGCAGGCCUGAUCCAGCCAUACCGCGUGGGUGAAGAAGGCCUUCGGGUUGUAAAGCCCUUUUGUUGGGAAAGAAAAGCAGCAGGUUAAUACCCCGCUGUUCUGACGGUACCCAAAGAAUAAGCACCGGCUAACUUCGUG
rnacentral:rRNA from 1 species